AUGCACACUUUCCAGGAAAUAUUUCCAUAUCCUGACUUUCUCCCUCCUCCUUUCAGUACUCUAGACUUGCACAAUUUAGCCCUCUCAAAAUCUGAAAAUUGGAAAGCGACAGUGGAACCUGCAGAAAGUUCUCUUGAACACUUGAUAAUUCGUUUACUGGAACUGGGAAGAUUACAACAUAUGACUAUUCAAAAAGAGAGGACCAGACUACAAACUACUCUCUAUACUCCAGCAGUUACCGAAUGAUCCUUUUCCUCCAAAGUUAUACCAAAAGUGAGACAGCCAAAACCUUGUGACUCUUUGAGUCUUCAGAUACCUUGUGUAGAUAAACGUCAAGAAAAAAGAAAAAACAAUUCUGGUUCUUGCAAGCUUGAGCAAAAUUCUUUAAAAUGGAAUUGGAGCAAUGCUGGCAAACAGAUGGAAUUCUAGACCACCAUCUCUAAAAAGUUCUUCCACCACAAAACAAUUGAUUGCAACUGACAAUGAUAAGAAUCCCAAAAGUUCUAUUUUAAAUCCAUGCCAAGACCUCUCAUCCAAGCCUAUGCUGGCCAGACAACUCAAUCACUGGUUAAAAUGGUCUCCACAAGAUGUCUGCCAUCAAGAUCUCCAAUGCCAGUUUCACCUAUACUUCUGUCUUUUCCCGAAAAUCAGAAGGAAAUUAAGGCACUGAAGAGAAACUUUGGAACCAAAAAGAAACAUUACCGACAAAAUAUAGUGUUGAAUAGACCAUUCUAUAUUCAGAAGCUAAACUGUCUGUCACCUUCCUUUAUUGCUAAGGAUAAGUGCUCACCCACUGACCAAAAAUGACUCUUUUCUUUCAUACACCUCAAUGUGAACAGAUCUAUUCUAAGAAGCCCAACUAAGAUAUGGUUAAUUAUUCCAAGACACAGGUAUUAUUUAAAAAAAUAUCACAUCAAACAGUUGCUUGAAGUGAUAUGGAGUGUAACUUGUGAAAAGCACUGCUGGGACGUCUAUAUGUAAAUCCACAGGCUUCUAUAAUUAUACGUUUGACAACCUUUUGCAAUUUGUGUUUCAAGGAAAUGGUUCAUUUAGUAGACUAUUCUAUUCAAAAGGCUAUUCUUUUUUUCAGUGAUCGUUUUCCAGUAUAAUUCCAUCAAUAAAUGGUAUAA